AACGAACGCUGGCGGCAUGCCUUACACAUGCAAGUCGAACGGCAGCGCGGGGCAACCUGGCGGCGAGUGGCGAACGGGCGAGUAAAAUAUCGGAACAUACCCUAGAGUGGGGGAUAACGUAGCGAAAGUUACGCUAAUACCGCAUACGCACUAAGGUGGAAAGUGGGGGAUCUUCGGACCUCAUGCUCAUGGAGUGGCCGAUAUCUGAUUAGCUAGUUGGUGAGGUAAAGGCUCACCAAGCCGACGAUCUGUAGCUGGUCUGAGAGGACGACCAGCCACACUGGGACUGAGACACGGCCCAGACUCCUACGGAGGCAGCAGUGGGGAAUUUUGGACAAUGGGCGCAAGCCUGAUCCAGCAAUGCCGCGUGCAGGAUGAAGGCCUU
rnacentral:rRNA from 1 species